GCUGAAGUUCUAACUUAUCUAACCUUUUAUUUUAGCUAAAACUUUGCUAAAAUGUUGAAUGCUAUUUGUGAAGCCAAGAGGCCAUAAGGCUUUCUGGCUCUGUCCUCUUACUGGUUUGCCUAUACUCAGGCUGAGGUCUGUGCUGUGUGGUAUCAUUAAAAAGCAUGAACCUGCUGCUCAGAAAAGAAGAAUCAUAGAAUCAUAAAAUGGUUUAAAUUGGAAAGGACCUUUAAGAACACCUGGUUCCAAACCUCCUGCUAGCCACUAGACCAGGCUGCUCAAAGCCCCAUCCAGCCUGUGUGGAGGCAUUCACUGCCUCACUGGGCAAUCUGUUCCAGUGUCUCACCACGCUCAGUAAAUAAUUUCUUAUCUGGGCUUGACUCCUUAGCUGUUGUUGUAGAGAUGUUCACCAGUGGCACAAAGACUCAGAAUCAUAGAAUCAUCAAGGUAGGAAAAUGCCACUAAGAUCAUCUAGUCCAACCAUCGGCUCACCACCACUAUGCCCACUAAACCAUGUCACUCCAUGCGAAAUUCACCUUUUCCUUCACAGAGCAUCAAUGAUGGCAGAGAUGGCCUUGAGGAAGACUGCUUCUCCAUUACUUUCACUGCAGGAACAAGUGAGAAAUAAGUGAUAAUUAACAACGUUGAUGUUUAAAAUCAGCAACAGCACCCAUCUAUCCAAACCUGUGGCCUCUGUGCAACCUUUCAGAUUUCACAUUCUGAGGGAUUCGGCCCAUGGGGAAAUCCCUGGCUAGUUUUUGAGAACUGCCACAUGAAGGACAUCAUAAAGCAUUUCUUGCCCCUCAACCCUGCUGUUCCAGUCUUCAUCUACGUGCCAUCCUGUCUCUAUGACACUGGUCUGGAGCAGCGAGCUCUGGGCUUUUUCAAGGGAUUUGGGCCCUUGAGAGCCAGGGCUGGAAUGGCCCAUCCGAAAGGUUUACGGAGAAGCCCACUAAUCUACUUACUACAAGUCCAGGAUGAACUAGAAGGAUUACAGGCACUUCUAUGUUAACAUUUUAACAUUUUAGUUCAAGAGUAUCCUUCUGAAGUGAACCUCCCAGUCAUACCCCCUUACCUGCUUUGGUUCAUAUGGCUGAGCAGUCUCAAAGAACACAAAGUGAAUGCCUUUCAAAUGGAACUUACCUGGAAGAAGCUUCCCACAAGUGGCCCUUACGACACUUCAGUCACUGGCGAACAUGAACUCCACAGGACUAGACUAAACCAAUCCAAAGAAAAUCCUCCUGAAAUACGCAUGUCACGAAUGCAAGGUCUUCAGGAUCAACUUUUUUGCUGUACAAAUCCACUCCCACUGGCCCACUGCACUGACAGCUGAGAUCAACUAAAACAUCUUGCUUCUCAGGCACCUCCUCCUCUUGCUUCAUUUCAUCACUAUGAAAUUUCAGGAGUUUCAGAGUUGGAAUUCAGCUAUGUCUCAAAUAAUUUGGAUAUUUCUUCAAACACAUCUGUGCUUCUUAAGACAGAAAAAAUGGUCUAAAAAUAUUGUAUGCAUUUACUUACUUGCCAGAAAUGUGGUGUUUCUGUUGGAGGUAACAUAACGCAGGCUUUUCUGCAGUUUGAGCAAUUCUACUUCCAUGCCUGGCUGCAAACCAGUGUGAAACGGAAUAAACAAGAAGUCAAAAGAAGAAAUAGUCAGCUAACAUCCCCCACUCAACUAAAAGGUGACUAUUGGUCUGAAUCAUAAUAUGCAAUGAAGCUACAGAGCCAUAUGCCUGUUCUUGUUCUGGCCCCAGAUGAGAAAUAAACUAUUCUCAGUGUAGCCUGUUCCUGUGCUUUACCACCCUUUGAGUAAAAAGUUUCUUCCCAAUAUCUAACCUAAAUCUCCCCUCUUUUAGUUUAAAACCAUUUCCCCUAGUCCCAUCACUACCAGACUGUGUAAAAAGUCAGUUACCCUCCUGUUUCAAAUCUCCCCUUAAAUACUGGAAGGCCUUUAAGUACUGGCUCAGCAACUAAUCAGCCAGUUCCUUCAGGACCCUGGGGUACAUGUCGUCCAUCCCCACAGACUUGUACACAUUCAGUCUCAUCAAGUAGUCUCAAAAUUGCACUUUUCUUACAGUGGGGGGGAUUUUGCUUCUCCAGCCCCUGCCUAGAGAUUCAAGGAUGCAAGAAACAUGGGAAUCCUGACUGCCAGUGAAGACUGAGGCAAAGAAUUUUUUGAGUACCCUUGCCUUCUCCGUGUCUUGUCGUUUAUCAGUGGGGAUACAGUCUUAUGGUCUGUCUCUUCUGACCAAUGUACACGUAGAAUCCCUUGUUAUUUUUCACAUUCCUCACCAAGUUUGAUUCCAUCCACACCUUGGCUUUCCUCGUGUCAUCUCUGCAUGCCAAAGCUCUUUAAGCAUACUUUUGGAUUGUUCUGAGUCAAUGUUUGAACAGCAAGGCAUGGGGAGAAGAAGUACAGUACAUUUUUAAUGCUAGUGAUGUGCCAAAUUCAAAAUAAGGGCUUAUACACUUAGGCAAAGGAAUACAAAUAUAAUCACGCAUAAGCAGCCCAUCACUUAUUUCAUCCUGUCCUGUCUCACACACAGACUAUGGAUACAUGCAUCCAUUCCUGCCAAGAGCAAUCUCCAAGGACAGAUUAUCAUAUGCUAUCAUCCUACAAUGCAUUAAUUAGAUCUGGGAGGCUAUUAAUAGUAUCCAACUUCUCUAUCAAUUUU
rnacentral:lncRNA from 1 species